rnacentral:rRNA from 1 species
UACGUAGGGCGCAAGCGUUGUCCGGAAUCAUUGGGCGUAAAGAGCUCGUAGGCGGCCUGUUGCGUCCGCUGUGAAAUCCCGGGGCUUAACCCCGGGCGUGCAGUGGAUACGGGCUGGCUGGAGGCAGGCAGGGGAGAACGGAAUUCCCGGUGUAGCGGUGAAAUGCGCAGAUAUCAGGAGGAACACCGAUGGCGAAGGCAGGUCUCUGGGCAUUAACUGACGCUGAGGAGCGAAAGCAUGGGGAGCGAACAGG